rnacentral:rRNA from 1 species
UACGUAGGGGGCGAGCGUUGUCCGGAUUUAUUGGGCGUAAAGAGCUCGUAGGCGGUUCGAUAAGUCGGACGUGAAAUCUCCACGCUCAACGUGGAGGGGCCGUUCGAUACUGUCGUGACUCGAGUCCGGUAGGGGAGUGUGGAAUUCCUGGUGUAGCGGUGAAAUGCGCAGAUAUCAGGAGGAACACCGAUGGCGAAGGCAGGUCUCUGGGCAUUAACUGACGCUGAGGAGCGAAAGCGUGGGGAGCGAACAGG